AACACAUGCAAGUCGAACGGAAAGGCCCCGCUUGCGGGGUACUCGAGUGGCGAACGGGUGAGUAACACGUGGGUGAUCUGCCUUGUACUUCGGGAUAAGCUUGGGAAACUGGGUCUAAUACCGGAUAGGACCACUGUGUUGUGAUUGUGGUGGAAAGCUUUUGCGGUAUGAGAUGAGCUCGCGGCCUAUCAGCUUGUUGGUGGGGUAAUGGCCUACCAAGGCGUCGACGGGUAGCCGGCCUGAGAGGGUGUACGGCCACAUUGGGACUGAGAUACGGCCCAGACUCCUACGGGAGGCAGCAGUGGGGAAUAUUGCACAAUGGGCGGAAGCCUGAUGCAGCGACGGGGGGGUGGGGGGAUGACGGCCUUCGGGUUGUAAACUCCUUUCGAUAGGGACGAAGCGUAAGUGACGGUACCUGUAGAAGAAGCACCCCCCCCCACUACGUGCCAGCAGCCGCGGUAAAU
rnacentral:rRNA from 1 species